rnacentral:misc_RNA from 1 species
AUCCAUGACACAAGGAAAAAGCAUUCGUGAGGACUUACUUUAUUUUCUGGGAGAUUACUAUUACCAAGAACAUAUAGUUGUGAAUACAAAAGGCCAAUCUUUAGAGUACACAAGGACACUUUCCUUUCUGACAUGCAUUGACAUUUCUGGAAACUAUUUACACGGAGAGCUCCCACAUGAAGUAACAAAAUUGGAGGGAUUGGUGAUUUUGAACUUGUCAAGGAAUCACAUCAGUGGUCAAAUUCCUCAGGACAUUUCAAAAUUACGUCAAUUGGCAUCCCUGGAUCUUUCAAGCAAUACGUUUUCAGGUCCACUCCCUCCAAGCAUGGUUUCAAUGUCAUUUUUGGAGUACUUGAACGUAUCAUACAACAACUUCUCAGGUCUGAUCCCUUAUUCAGGUCAAAUGGCAACUUUUGAGGCUUCUUCUUUUGCUGGAAACCCAAGACUUUGUGGUGCUCCUCUUGUUGUUGAGUGUUUUGUUUCCGAUCCCCCUGUUUCAGGAGUCAUUAGGGAGAUUGACAAUGGUUACGCUGUUGACAAGUGGUUUUACCUUGCCAUUGGGUUGGGAUUCGCAGUCGGUUUGUUGAUUCCUUAUCUAAUUA